CCUACGGGAUGCAGCAGUGAGGAAUAUUGGUCAAUGGACGAGAGUCUGAACCAGCCGAGUAGCGUGAAGGAUGACUGCCCUAUGGGUUGUAAACUUCUUUUAUAUGGGAAUAAAAUGUUCCACGUGUGUGAUUUUGUAUGUACCAUAUGAAUAAGCAUCGGCUAACUCCGUGCCAGCAGCCGCGGUAAUACGGAGGAUCCGAGCGUUAUCCGGAUUUAUUGGGUUUAAAGGGAGCGUAGGUGGAUUGUUAAGUCAGUUGUGAAAGUUUGCGGCUCAACCGUAAAAUUGCAGUUGAAACUGGCAGUCUUGAGUACAGUAGAGGUGGGCGGAAUUCGUGGUGUAGCGGUGAAAUGCUUAGAUAUCACGAAGAACUCCGAGUGCGAAGGCAGUUCACUGGACUGCAACUGACACUGAGGCUCGAAAGUGUGGGUAUCAAACAGGAUUAGAUACUCCUGUAGUC
rnacentral:rRNA from 1 species